rnacentral:lncRNA from 1 species
AACAAAGACAUUCAACGUGGUUCGCCUCAACCACCAAGCGAUGUGAUUCAUCCUAUAUUCCAGGCAUGAACCCCAGCAAACAAUAACCUAACCAUUGUGCCGUUACACAGGUCGAUCACCUAUCUCUAGCUUAUUACAAUCAUUAGGCAAUCAAUCAGGUGAUCAAACAAUUAUGCUGGUGAUUCAUCUAAUGCUUUUCUUAUCCGUUUGACUCUUUCAUGACCUUUCUUAGAUGCAGCAAAUCAACUACCUGAAUAUAUCUAGAAUCAAUACACCAAAAACGAACAAACACUAUCCUAAGAAUAUGGAUCUACUCCUCACCUUUGCCAAUUUGCAGAUCUGAAUUAAGGAGACUGAGAAUUAAGCGAAUCAAGCAGACGACGAGAAGGCAGGGGCUCGCGACGGGAUCUCCUCAGCUCAGCGGUGGCUUGCGGCGGCUAGGAGGCUUCGGAUGGCGGCAUCAGCUCGGGCAGAAGCAGCUCGGGCAAUAUCUCUCUCUCUCUUUCUGUGGCUGGGGGCUAUUUUGCAGAGAAUGAGGCUCCUUCCCUAGAAUUUUCUCUUUUAUAGAGGCAAAAUUAGGGAAUUGGGCCUCCUGCUGGGCUUUUGGAUAGGCUGAGAUGCUGUAAAACUUCUCUCUCUUCAUUAUCACGAACCUUUAAGAAAGAGAAAGAUUUCUUUUGUUUUCGGAUUUUAUUCGGAUAUGUUGUUCGGAUUGUGUUGUAUUUUUUUUUUUUUAAAAAAAAUCUUUGUCUUCUUCUUUUUUUCCUUUGCUGUCUUAGCCUCUUCUGGAUUUGGAUUCGUUUCCUCGGAAGAAGUCAUUCUAAAUCAAUUUUCUUUAGAUAACUUAUGCCCGAUUCUUCGUCUUGUGAGUGUAAAUCUUUGCUUACCGUGAUGGGCCUAUAGAUAGGUUAUUAAGCAAAGUUUCUUAACGGAUGAAAAAUGUUUUUGGUUUGUUUCUACAUCUGAUUGCAAGAUUUUAACUUUGGCUAUCAAGUAGAAGAUCCGGUUUUGAAGCUUUGGUGAGCUCGAAGGAAGGAUUUUUAACAGUAUAUGAAACCGCCGAGAGUUGAUGACUCGUGGAGUAUUAGGAGCCAACAUCGGUGGUGGUUGAAAAUUUCUGGCGAUAGCAUUAAAUCGAUGAUGGCGAUGAACUUAGGGAUGACUCAACUCGUCUAGAUGCGUGAUUGUUGUGUUGAUACGUCUUUUGUUACAUAACUGUAUUUUCAGUUUUCUGCGUGUUUGCAUUGGGCCUUUUGAGCGGUGUACCUGAACUUUGCUCGGUUGGACUUAAUAAAAAAAGUUCACAGGAAAUAAUUGUUUC